UGAUCAACAUUAGCCACUGAUUCAUCAUCUUUAUUCCUAACCUUCUUAGUUGCCCGUAGUAGAUUCGUCGACAGUGUAGAUCCUAGACAUUCAUUGCUAGCGAAGCAUCUGGCGAGAGCAUUUCUUUAUAUAGAUAUAUAUUCAAAUGUUUUCCUUAUAAUGUUUUUUUGUAAAAAAAUAAAAUAAAAUCUUUAAUAGAACGUAGAUAAAAUCCAACGUAGCCCAAAACGCUUCUAACUCUACCAACAGGUGAGGUACCUUUUCUGACUUUGAUCUUUGCUCGAUCCACUUAUAUCCCCUUGUUUAAGAUAUAAUGUCUCAGCACAAUUCCUCCUCCUACAUUUGACAUGAAAAUAUUCCAUUAAUCAUCAAAUUUAUCUCCUUAGGUUGUAUUUAAGACACUAAAACGAAAAUAAAUGGGACUUGUGGAUUUAAAAAUUUUUACCAAAUAAUGUCUUAAAAUAUAUAAUUAGGUUGUAUUUAAGACACUAAAACGAAAAUAAAUGGGACUUGUGGAUUUAAAAAUUUUUACCAAAUAAUUCUUAAAAUAUAUAAUUAUUAUAAUAUUUUUAUUUUAAAAGUUAUUUAUAAACUUACUUUUUUUUAAUAGAGAUCAAGAAAGCAAAGGAGGGAUGCUACAGCUGUG
rnacentral:lncRNA from 1 species